rnacentral:rRNA from 13 species
UUGAGAGUUUGAUCCUGGCUCAGAACGAACGCUGGCGGCAGGCCUAACACAUGCAAGUCGAGCGAGACCUUCGGGUCUAGCGGCGGACGGGUUAGUAACGCGUGGGAACGUGCCCUUCUCUGCGGAAUAGCCACUGGAAACGGUGAGUAAUACCUCAUACGCCCUUCGGGGGAAAGAUUUAUCGGAUUUGGAUUAGCCCGCGUUAGAUUAGAUAGUUGGAGGGGUAAUGGCCUACCAAGUCUACGAUCUAU